CUACAGCUGUCUGUGUGUCUGCUACAGGAGUUUAGUUUAUGGAUUCAUAUCGGGAUCGUUUUACAUCUACACGUUAAAUAUGAGCAUCGGGACGUCAACAAAGAACAGAAGACUUGAGAUCUGAGCACCAGUGGACAGUGAGGACUAUGGAAGAGAAGAUGUGAUGGUUUUGUGUGGAAAGCUGCUGACGCCAGCCUGUGUCCCUCAUCAGUCUCUCCAGGCAGCACCCAGCUAUUCUUGCAGAUGAAAAUACUUUGAUAUCACCUGGACACAGCAGGAACCUACGCCAGGAUCCUGUUUGUGGACUUCAGCUCUGCCUUCAACACAACCCUCUGGCUGGAGGCUGCGCUCCAUCAGGACCAACACCUCUCUCCCUCAGGACCAGAACCUCUCUCCAUCAG